UACAGAGGUGGCAAGCGUUGUUCGGAAUUACUGGGCGUAAAGGGCGCGUAGGCGGCCUUCUCAGUCAGACGUGAAAUCCCCAGGCUUAACUUGGGAACUGCGUCUGAUACUGGAAGGCUUGAGUGCGGGAGAGGGAUGUGGAAUUCCAGGUGUAGCGGUGAAAUGCGUAGAUAUCUGGAGGAACACCGGUGGCGAAGGCGGCAUCCUGGACCGACACUGACGCUGAGGAGCGAAAGCCAGGGGAGCAAACGGG
rnacentral:rRNA from 1 species